CAGAUAUUAGUUUAUAAAAAUUUUAAUUUUGGAGAUUAAAGAUAGGAAAUUUCUUAUAUCUGA
rnacentral:tRNA from 1 species